CUUAAGCUGCUUGAAAAGCAGCACAAAUCUAUUAAUAGGCUUAUAUUACUAGCAUUAAUGAGCUCCUGCAUAGCUCUGAAAAGGUAAAAUAUAAACACAUAUUCUCUAUUAAUACUUGGAAGACACUUCCCUCACCUAUGUUUUUAUUCUUCCUACUUCUUUCCCAUUCUUCUAUUGUCUGGAGAGACAGUCUUGUGGUAGCAAGCAUGAAUUAUUCCCUUUCCUGAGCAGCCUUGGUAUGCAUUUGGAUGGGUGACUUCAUGUGAAUAUUGCCUGCUGUAAGAUAUUCCCAUUAGAUGAUGGGUCUGUAGACGUUGGUAGAGCAUCUGCCUGCAUUCAGAAGAUCCCAGGUUUGAUCCAAGGCAUCUCCAGAGAAUGCCUUCCGGAACCCAGGAGCAGCUACAGAGAAGGCCCAAUCCCAUGUCGCCGUCAGGUGACCUGGCAGCAACCAGAGAUGGACCUCUCUUGAAGACCUUAAAGUGCAGUGGGGCUCAUACUGAAGAAGGCACUUUCCCAGAAAACCAGCUUGUGAAGUUUUCAUGGUGCCUAUAGAUUGUUGUGGAUCAAGCUUCUAUCAAAAGGGCAGCUAGUGGAGUCAGUUCCACAGCUGGCAACUCUACUGUUCUGCAAGCACUCCUGGAUUUCUGGAAAUAAAAACCCCCACCUUCCUGAAUUACUUACCAAAAACAGUCUUUCCAUAGAACAAGAAAUAUCAAGAGAGUACUAGGCUGCACCACAAAAACUGCCAGAAAACCUGCAAAGAAAUCUUUAUCACAGUGAUUAGUAUCAACAUCCCUGAGAGCAAACAAUUUAGAAUACAAUGGGUCUAAUCAGGCCAGUCCUAGAAUGUCUCUUAUCUCUAACACUGUCUCCUAAUGGCAACAAUUGCAUGGAUGAAUCCAGACAGCCCUUGACAUCUCAACUGAACUCUCAUAAAAGAAUAAUUAUGGGCAUCAAUUGACAUUAAUCCCAGCAUGGCCAUGCCUCCUCUGACCUCCAUGUCCCAUAAACAUGUAUGACAUUAUUAAAAUGUGCACCUUAUAGUUAAAACAUACACCCAUGCUGCAUAGAAAAUACAGUUGAUUAGCAGAGGUCUUAGGGCAUUGAGCCAUUCACUUGUUAGUUCAUGUAUACCAUUAUAUAUGAUUGGAGUCAGGGGUGUAGCUAGGGGAGAGGGGGCCCGUGUUCAUCCCUCUCUCUGGCGGAUCCCCAGGGAGACAAUGAAGAAAAUAGGGAGGGAUGGAGCUGGAGGGCACCCAGAAGCCAGGGAACCAUGUUCUUUGAACCCUUUUGCUCAGUUAUAGCUACGUCCCUGAAUGGAGUUUUGAGGGCUUCAUACUGUGACUGCUUGACACAUUUGUGCUUGUGUGAGUGUAACACUUGUCCAUGGAUGCUGUUGUAGUCUAUCUAGCAGGGGUGUGCAUGAAUCAAUUUUUUUGUUUCAAUCUGUACCUGAAUUGCAUCACCACCAAUUUGUUUUGGGUCUGAAUCUGAUCCCCCAAAUCACCCCAGAUUUGAUUUGUACCUGAAUUUUCCAAAUCCGAAUCUGAAUAGAUAUGGAUCAAAAAAGGGGUCCCGGGGGUGGGUGGUAGUGUCCAAUGUGUGGAAACUACCACCCAAAUUUCAAAGAAAUUGGGCCAUGGGGUGAUUUUUAAAGAAUUUUUGCGGUUUAUGCAUCUUUAAGCUUUUUCCCAUAGUGAAUAAAGGGGAUUUCAGCAACCUUAUAGCUCCACAUGGGGGGCACUGGGGUGGCCGAGAGUGGGGUGUGGUGGGUGGUAGUGCCCAAUGGGUGCAAGGAAGCUACCACUCAGAUUUCAAAGGAAUUGGCCAAAGGGGUGAUUUUUAAAUCACUUCUCCAACCUUGGAGAAGCCACUGCCAGUCUGUGAAGACAAUACUGAGCUAGAUAGACCAAUGGUCUGACUUAGUAUAUGGCAGCUUCCUAUGUUCCUAUGUUAAAUGAUUUUUGAAUUUGGCAUGUCUUUGUGGCAGAUUUGGGACAGAAAGGGGGUUUAGGGGGCAGAAGAGUGGGUCAGGUGGUAGUGCCCCAAUGGGUGCCUGCUACCAUCCAGAUUUCAAAGGAAUUGGGCAAAAGGGUGAUUUAAAAUAAUUUGUGAAGUUUGUGCGUCUUUAUGCUUUUCCCCAAUAGGGAAUAAUGAGGAUUUCAGCAGCCCCAUGACUCCAUUUGGGGGGCACUGGGGUGGCCCAGAGUGAGUGGUGGUGUAGUGCACAUAGGGUGCCAACCACCCCCAAACCCACAAGCCCAUGGGGUACUGGGUUUUGUUGUUUCUGAGAUGUUCUGAGAGUAGAUUCUCUGGUAGCAAAUGAGAGUGGAUUCACUGUUUGUCAUAGAAAAUGAAUCCACUCUCAUUUGCUAUCAGAUAAUCUACUGUCUAUCCCCAUUGUCCCAUAGGGUGGAUGCAGCACACGUCAACAACAGCAGAGCUUUGCAAAGAACAAGGUUUCCAAAGGUCACACACAUCCACUGUGCCACUCACCACAUCCACUGUGUCCCACCAUCCCCCCCCAACAUAAAUGCAAUUGAUCUACACACAACAGUGUAAAACAACAACAAUGAAAUGCACUGCCCCACGCACCCCCUUCCAAUGCAGGAUAACAGCAGCAGCCAGCAACAAGCAAGCAAGUUAGUAUGAUAUCACAGAUGCAGCAGACUAGGGCCAACAACAGCAUCAAAUGUGCCCUCCCUCCUCCAAGCAUUUCAUCAACAAGCAGCAGACUCAGCUACAUCUGUGGCACCCGGCCAUAAGUGGGUUAAGUAAGGAUGCAAAACAAUCUGCCAGUGGAACAGCGAGGUUUGGCCCCCCUCCCAUCUACACAAGUAGAAGAGUGGCGAUUGAUGACAACACGGCACACAAUUUUUGGUGUAUUUUUUUAAAAAAUAUUUCUGCAAUGGAUCAGAGCCUGUGGCACCAACACAACCUAUUGUAGAUGCAAGCAAUCUAGUUUGAAUAAAAAUGAGGAUGAUGCUAGAAGAUACAAUAUGACCCAAUCUUCAUUACAAAGAAGUCCACACACAGAGAGAGAACCUGUCCUGUGCCCAUCCAUGAG